rnacentral:misc_RNA from 1 species
GGAAGUAAAAGUCGUAGCAAGGUUUCCGUAGGUGGACCUGCGGAAGGAUCAUUAUUGUAUAACCGAGGUGCGAGGGCUGUCGCUGACCCGAAAGGUCGUGCACGCCCGAGUGCCCUCACACACAUCCAUCUCACCCCUAUGUGCACCACCGCGUGGGUCCCCCUUUGGCUUGUUCGGAGGGGGGCUUACGUUUUCACACAAACUUUGUAUGCAGUGUAGAAUGUAUUUUUUGUUUUUGCGAUCACGCAAUCAAUACAACUUUCAACAACGGAUCUCUUGGCUCUC